CGGUAACAGGCAGAAGCUUGCUUUUGCGCUGACGAGUGGCGGACGGGUGAGUAACACGUAGGAAUCUGCCUAGUAGUGGGGGACAACCCGGGGAAACCCGGGCUAAUACCGCAUACGCCCUACGGGGGAAAGCGGGGGAUCUUCGGACCUCGCGCUAUUAGAUGAGCCUGCGCCGGAUUAGCUUGUUGGUAGGGUAAUGGCCUACCAAGGCGACGAUCCGUAGCUGGUCUGAGAGGACGAUCAGCCACACUGGGACUGAGACACGGCCCAGACUCCUACGGGAGGCAGCAGUGGGGAAUAUUGGACAAUGGGCGCAAGCCUGAUCCAGCAAUGCCGCGUGUGUGAAGAAGGCCUUAGGGUUGUAAAGCACUUUCAAUAGAGAAGAAAAGCAGAGCGUUAAUAGCGCUCUGUCAUGACGUUAUCUAUACAAGAAGCACCGGCUAACUCCGUGCCAGCAGCCGCGGUAAUACGGAGGGUGCGAGCGUUAAUCGGAAUUACUGGGCGUAAAGGGUGCGUAGGCGGUUUAAUAAGUCGGGUGUGAAAGCCCCAAGCUCAACUUGGGAAUUGCAUUCGAUACUGUUGAACUGGAGUGUGGUAGAGGGAAGCGGA
rnacentral:rRNA from 1 species